rnacentral:misc_RNA from 1 species
AAAAUGCGAUACGUAAUGCGAAUUGCAGAAUUCAGUGAAUCAUCAAAUCUUUGAACGCAAGUUGCGCUUUUGGGAUAUCCCUGAAAGCAUGCCUCCUUGAGUAUCGGUAACACCCCUCAUCCUUUGGUGGAUGGAGUAUGAGUGGAUUCUGUUAAGGCUCUGUCCUGUACAGUCACUUGAAACCGAGAAGACAUCUGAGCCCAGAGAGUUUCAAUUCUCUCUAAGCCUUAGUGUGUAUCUUCUAAAGCCACGUAGUUAGUUCACUUUCGGGUGAUUUUUUAUACGUACUUUGGAUUUUAUAGAAUGACACUUUGGCGUGCCUACCAGAUGGCGGUUUUUUAAAAACCAAACCUUUUUUUGUAACAUAUGAUCUCAAGUGAGGUAAGAAGACCCGCUGAAC